rnacentral:precursor_RNA from 12 species
CUAGGUCAGGAAGCUCAAUGUGGUGGGGGUGAUUCCAUGGAGCAUAUGCUCUGGCUCUCUGGGGAUGGACAUGCGCUCUAUGGAAUCACCCCCGCUACAUAAGUGUCUGUGUAGUAGAG